AUGCAGUGUACCCGCGGCAAGACGGAAAGACCCCGUGAACCUUUACUAUAGCUUGACACUGAACAUUGAGCCUUGAUGUGUAGGAUAGGUGGGAGGCUUUGAAGUGUGGACGCCAGUCUGCAUGGAGCCGACUUGAAUACCACCCUUUAAUGUUUGAUGUUCUAACGUUGACCCGUAAUCCGGGUUGCGGACAGUGUCUGGUGGGUAGUUUGACUGGGGCGGUCUCCUCCUAAAGAGUAACGGAGGAGCACGAAGGUUGGCUAAUCCUGGUCGGACAUCAGGAGGUUAGUGCAAUGGCAUAAGCCAGCUUGACUGCGAGCGUGACGGCGCGAGCAGGUGCGAAAGCAGGUCAUAGUGAUCCGGUGGUUCUGAAUGGAAGGGCCAUCGCUCAACGGAUAAAAGGUACUCCGGGGAUAACAGGCUGAUACCGCCCAAGAGUUCAUAUCGACGGCGGUGUUUGGCACCUCGAUGUCGGCUCAUCACAUCCUGGGGCUGAAGUAGGUCCCAAGGGUAUGGCUGUUCGCCAUUUAAAGUGGUACGCGAGCUGGGUUUAGAACGUCGUGAGACAGUUCGGUCCCUAUCUGCCGUGGGCGCUGGAGAACUGAGGGGGGCUGCUCCUAGUACGAGAGGACCGGAGUGGACGCAUCACUGGUGUUCGGGUUGUCAUGCCAAUGGCA
rnacentral:rRNA from 1 species